AUUGAACGCUGGCGGCAUGCUUUACACAUGCAAGUCGAACGGCAGCACGGGGGCAACCCUGGUGGCGAGUGGCGAACGGGUGAGUAAUACAUCGGAACGUAUCCUUAAGUGGGGGAUAACGCACCGAAAGGUGUCCUAAUACCGCAUAAUCUCCGAGGAGAAAAGCAGGGGAUCGCAAGACCUUGCGCUUUCGGAGCGGCCAAUGUCUGAUAAGCUAGUUGGUGAGGUAAAGGCUUACCAAGGCGUCGAUCAGUAGCUGGUCUGAGAGGACGACCAGCCACACUGGGACUGAGACACGGCCCAGACUCCUACGGGAGGCAGCAGUGGGGAAUUUUGGACAAUGGGGGAAACCCUGAUCCAGCCAUGCCGCGUGAGUGAAGAAGGCCUUCGGGUUGUAAAGCUCUUUCAGCCGGAACGAAACGGUCACGGUUAAUACCCGUGACUACUGACGGUACCGGAAGAAGAAGCACCGGCUAACUACGUGCCAGCAGCCGCCGUAACAC
rnacentral:rRNA from 1 species